rnacentral:rRNA from 1 species
GAACGCUGGCGGCGUGCUUAACACAUGCAAGUCGCGCGUGAAAGGACUUCGGUCCGAGUAAAGCGGCGCACGGGUGAGUAACGCGUGGAUGAUCUACCCAUGAGUUAGGAAUAACGGCUGGAAACGGUCGCUAAUACCAAAUACGCUCCGAUUUCAACUUCGGGGGAAAGGUGGCCUCUGCUUGCAAGCUACUGCUCAUGGAUGAGUCCGCGUCCCAUUAGCUAGUUGGUGGGUAACGGCCCACCAAGGCGACGAUGGGUAGCCGGUCUGAGAGGAUGACCGGCCACACUGGGACUGGAACACGGCCCAGACUCCUACGGGAGGCAGCAGUGGGGAAUAUUGCGCAAUGGGCGAAAGCCUGACGCAGCGACGCCGCGUGAGGGAUGAAAGGUCCUCGGAUCGUAAACCUCUGUCAGGAGGGAAGAACCGCCACGGUGCUAAUCAGCCGUGGUCUGACGGUACCUCCAAAGGAAGCACCGGCUAACUCCGUGCCAGCAGCAGC